rnacentral:rRNA from 1 species
UUUCUGUUUUCGCUUAGAGAUCGUGCUAAAGCUUGGUUUUCGUCUUUGCCUAAAAAUAGUAUUGAUUCAUGGAAUAAGUGCAAAGAUGCUUUUAUCUCUAAGUAUUUUCCUCCCGCUAAGAACAUCUCUCUUAGAAAUGAUAUUAUGAAUUUUAAGCAACUUGAUCAUGAGCAUGUUGCACAAUCUUGGGAGAGGAUGAAAUUAAUGAUACGUAAUUGCCCUACACAUGGUUUGAAUUUAUGGACGAUUAUACAAAAGUUUUAUGCCGGAUUGAAUUUUGCUUCUAGAAAUCUUUUAGAUUCGGCCACGCGGGGCACUUUUUAUGGAAAUCACUUUAGGAGAAGCUACUAA